CAGUAGCCGCGGGAAUACGUAGGUCCCGAGCGUUGUCCGGAUUUGUUGGGCGUAAAGCGAGCGCAGGCGGUUAGAUAAGUCUGAAGUUAAAGGCUGUGGCUUAACCAUAGUACGCUUUGGAAACUGUUUAACUUGAGUGCAAGAGGGGAGAGUGGAAUUCCAUGUGUAGCGGUGAAAUGCGUAGAUAUAUGGAGGAACACCGGUGGCGAAAGCGGCUCUCUGGCUUGUGACUGACGCUGAGGCUCGAAAGCGUGGGGAGCAAACAGGAUUAGAGACCCCGGUAGUCCCUGUCUCUUAUACA
rnacentral:rRNA from 1 species